ACCUGUCUGGCUCAGUCAGUAGAGCAUGUGACUCUUGAUCUCAGGGUCAUGAGUUCAAGCCCCAUGUUGGGCG
rnacentral:tRNA from 1 species